rnacentral:rRNA from 1 species
GCAAACAGGAUUAGAUACCCUGGUAGUCCACGCCGUAAACGAUGUCGACUUGGAGGUUGUGCCCUUGAGGCGUGGCUUCCGGAGCUAACGCGUUAAGUCGACCGCCUGGGGAGUACGGCCGCAAGGUUAAAACUCAAAUGAAUUGACGGGGGCCCGCACAAGCGGUGGAGCAUGUGGUUUAAUUCGAUGCAACGCGAAGAACCUUACCUGGUCUUGACAUCCACGGAAGUUUUCAGAGAUGAGAAUGUGCCUUCGGGAACCGUGAGACAGGUGCUGCAUGGCUGUCGUCAGCUCGUGUUGUGAAAUGUUGGGUUAAGUCCCGCAACGAGCGCAACCCUUAUCCUUUGUUGCCAGCGGUCCGGCCGGGAACUCAAAGGAGACUGCCAGUGAUAAACUGGAGGAAGGUGGGGAUGACGUCAAGUCAUCAUGGCCCUUACGACCAGGGCUACACACGUGCUACAAUGGCGCAUACAAAGAGAAGCGACCUCGCGAGAGCAAGCGGACCUCAUAAAGUGCGUCGUAGUCCGGAUUGGAGUCUGCAACUCGACUCCAUGAAGUCGGAAUCGCUAGUAAUCGUGGAUCAGAAUGCCACGGUGAAUACGUUCCCGGGCCUUGUACACACCGCCCGUCACACCAUGGGAGUGGGUUGCAAAAGAAGUAGGUAGCUUAACCUUCGGGAGGGCGCUUACCACUUUGUGAUUCAUGACUGGGGUGAAGUCGUAACAAGGUAACCGUAGGGGAACCUGCGGUUGGAUCACCUCCUUACCUUAAAGAAGC